UUUCAGAACAAGUCACGAUCUCAUAAUGGUGGUAACAGUACUUCCUUAUGACUUAUUCCUCAAUGUUGUCUUUAUCAGACAAUAACAGUGAGAUAAGUCUGGAUCAGGAUAUGGUCUACUGACUACACAACUGACCCUGAGGUCCCGAUGUGACACUUCCCUCACACAAUGAUGGUACACUUGUAACACACACAACACUGAUUAGCCAGUUACUACCCUUUGACGUGCUUCAGUGAACAUAAGUUAUACAGUGCUGGUGACAACAAAACUUGACCUGAAUUAUGUGGUGCAUAUCCCUGACCAGGUGAUAUAUAUGGUAGAAGUAACACAGACACUUUUCAUAAACAAAGCUUCAUAAAGAUCAAACUGUUACAAGCUUUCACCAGAUACAAUUCCUAUCAAUCUUCUGGGUCACAGAAAACCAAAUUCCUCUGAAUCACACUUUAGAAUGUCAGGAAUUUAUGUCCGGACAAGCUGAACUGAUGCAGAUUUGGAUGAACUACAGGUCUACUUGAACACACUUCCAGACAAGAUGGUGUAAUAUAUAACCUAGACAAACAUCUAGACACGAUCCAGGGAAGGAGACACCACUAUAAGAACUCCCUGUGGACUGUUGUCCAUGUGUCAACUUCCUCUUCCUGUUGAGAAAGUCAAGUAUUUAUACUAGCCCAGUUACAGGGUACGGACACGUACCUGAGAGAGAGAUUAAAGUUUUGUAUACACUUUACAUCUGUAGGUGUUUCCGGUAACGAGGAUAAUACAUGCGUGAAACAUAUGUAAUAUAAACAAUCUAGUUGGUAGAUUGAUCUUUUAAAUAAAGACAAUUUAGGAUCAAAUUUAAACAGUUUUUCCAGGUGUUUUGCUACUCAGCCCACAGGUGAAAAAGUCAUGGUAGGCUCUGGUAAAGUGAAAAAUUCCAUGGACUUGACUCAAUGAUUAUAUAAUCAACUACAAGUAACCUAUAUAUAUAGCUACUGAGUGAUUUGAUAAGUCUGACCUUUAUCACCUGACAGAGUCUAGGUAAAUUACCGUCCACCAAGCCUUAGGGGCUCUGACCAACACAGAUCAAGAUGUGCAGACAGAAUGAUAGAGAGACCAGGUCAUGACAGUGACAGUAGCGAUACCAGGAGAGGAGAAAAUGGUGCCUGUGACCAAACCUUGUUUCAAGUGAGGUGAAUACAAUGGACCCUCGGUAAUCCGAACACCUUCGUUCCCAGCCCAAACCGUCCGGAUUACAAGUUUUCCGGACUGCCUAAUUUUGUCUACCAGGUCAAAAAAUAAACACGUCUAUUUGCCAGUCUUUUUAAAAAAUAAAUAUACUUAUGUUUCUGAUA